AGCGAACGCUGGCGGCAGGCCUAACACAUGCAAGUCGAACGGAUCCUUCGGGAUUAGUGGCGGACGGGUGAGUAACACGUGGGAACGUGCCCUUUGGUUCGGAACAAAUCAGGGAAACUUGAGCUAAUACCGGAUGUGCCCUUCGGGGGAAAGAUUUAUCGCCAUUGGAGCGGCCCGCGUCUGAUUAGCUAGUUGGUGAGGUAAAGGCUCACCAAGGCGACGAUCAGUAGCUGGGCUGAGAGGAUGAUCAGCCACAUUGGGACUGAGACACGGCCCAAACUCCUACGGGAGGCAGCAGUGGGGAAUCUUGCGCAAUGGGCGAAAGCCUGACGCAGCCAUGCCGCGUGAAUGAUGAAGGUCUUAGGAUUGUAAAAUUCUUUCACCGGGGACGAUAAUGACGGUACCCGGAGAAGAAGCCCCGGCUAACUUCGUGCCAGCCGCCGCCGUAAAAC
rnacentral:rRNA from 1 species